UCCAAACCCAAUCAGCUGUAGGUAAAGAUAUCGCUCUAAAUGGCUGAAUGUAUCCAGUACUGAUAACUAAUCUCAGUUAUCUUUGAUAUCUCAUGACAAAAAUAUUUACCUGUGAGUGUGAAUGAUUGGCACAGAGCCCAACAGGACAAGGCAGGAUACACACAGUGCCACAAGGCUCUCUGUGCAAAUGGCACAGCAAUACGAACUGUUUCCUGUCUGGGAAAUAAUUACUGGGGAAAUUGCCAUGGACUGAGGCAGAGUAUUGACCCUGCAUAGCAAGGAUGUACCCUGUGCAUCAUCGCACCUCUGAUUUGUGUCCCUUGUGUUUCAGGAUAGCGAUGCUGGAGAUUCUCUCCCCUCGCCGUGCCCAGUUGUGAGUGCUCCUUGCAAACGGGGAGGCCUUGGGGCUUUGGGGCUGCUGUGACCAGAGCAAAGGCCACUCUGCACUCCUUGACUUCCCAUCCCAGCUCUGGGCUCCUCAGGAAGCACAGCCAAAGCCUCCAGUGAGAUGCUGAAAAGAAGGAACCAGUCCGAAUCUGUAAACCCAACGUGGGCUUGCAGGCUGCGAGGGAAAAAAGGGUUAAAUGCACCACAGGGAUGCACCAACAGCUAAACUCCAGUGCUGGAUUAACCCGUGUGGGAUGUAGCAACUGUCCUUAAGAAAAAAGAAGCUUCUCCAGCAAAACUUUCUAGACAAGUCCCUUCUCUGCCCUGGUGCUGUUUUGUGGAACAAGGCUGAGGGAGCCCUGCUGAACAUGGAGGAGAGGGUAGAGGGAGAUGCACCAGCCCUGCAGAGAUGCCAACACCAUGGAAAAUGCUGGUUUCCCUCUCCUUGAGAAUGUGGCCUCUCCCUCUCACCAGCUGCCUGCACUGACUUUCAGACCGAAUUGUUUUUGUCUUUAUGACCCCUGGGAGCUCUGAGCACUCAGUGCCUUGGGACAGGCAGGGCUGGAAUCCCAGCUCCAGGGUAGUCACAGGGGGCAGAGGUGCAACCUCAGUCCCUUUGAUCAGUCUGGCUGGCAGGAGCCCUGGCAUGGGGUGUGCAAUGGCAUCCCGUGCUCAGUCUAUUGUCAGCUCUGAGUGGGGCAUUCCCCAAACACCUACAAUUUACCCUCCAGCUUUGAUCACCUCAGUUUGUUGGAAAACAGAGAUUAUGUGAUACUGCUCUGCUGAGCUUCUUGGAAUCACUGAUAUGCAGCACUUCAGAAAGGAUCAGCAAUGCUAAUGCACAAAGUUUGGCCAAUAGAAAGUAUUUUCUGUAGGAUAAUAAUCACUCAAGUGUCUUUUACUGCUCUCAGUAAGAUACACACUGACUUUGCUGUGCUUCCUGAACAGAACUAGAAGCACCUGCUCAUGCUGCUUCUUCACCCUCCUCUGCUCUGGAAAAGACUCCCCACUGUGCCUGCACAGGGGGAGGCUGGCCCUGUGCAACACUGCCCUUCAAGAAUAUUCCACAUUCCACUGGGACAGUAGUGCACCAAGAAAAGCAUGGAAAUGAUAUUGCAAAAAGACCUGAUUUACUGCACGUGUAUCUACCUGGGUCAGCUGCCAGGAUGCAGGUCUAGUGCACGGGCUUUGGCAGCGAUUGGCAAAAAUACUGGCAGUCCCAUGCCCAACCUACUACAGGAAUAUCCUGUAUCCUGGGAGCACACAAUUAACACUUUUGAACUGGUGCUGACUGUAACAGACUUCGUGCUGUGGGGACCUUUAGUUCACCACAGGCAGUGCUGUGGCAUCUCAGCGUCUUCAGUGAAUCAUUUCUUCAGCGAGACACUUAUUUGGAUCUCCUCUGACCCUUUGCACAGGGAAAAAAAGUCAGAGAAGCAUAGAAGGGUUUGGGCUGGAAAGGCUUGAAGGAUUGUCCCGUUCCAACCCCCUGCCAUGAGCAGGGAUACCUUCCACUAGACCAGGUUGCUCCAAGCCCCGUCCAACCUGGCCAUGAGCACUGGGAGCCCAAUCCUCUCACUGCCCUGGCACAGUUCUGUCCCAAACACUUGUCCUGACUCUCAGGUCAGGAUGUGGGCGGAGGGGGGGUGUCUGUGAUUUUCUUUACUGUGUCGCUGCACACUCAGAGAUGAAGAUUCAGGGAGAAUCAGAUCUGGGGUUUUACUGGCAGCAACUGCUUUCCCUGUUAUGGUGUUUGCUUUGCAGAUUUGUGCCAUCCUAGUGUCACUGCCUUUGUCAGUGGCUACCACAGGAACAGUUAGUGCAGGUGUUAAUUCAUUCUAUGAUGGGAUGUGUGAAAAUCUCUGCUACUUGUGCCCUCCUUGGGCAUCUCUCCUUACAGGUUAGGCUGUUUGGAUGCAUCUGCCUUUUGUAAGGGACCUCCAGGAACCCCUUCUCAGAGGAAGUGAGGGGGCUGUGUUUCAGUGCUCCCUACUCCCAGCUGGGUCACAGAUACAUGCAGAUAGGCUUCCUUGCAAUGGUUUGGCACCUGUGUUUCUCAUUUGGGCCAAACGUACUGAGAAAAGCAGUAUUUAACUAUUACAAUUUGGCAAAGUUCCAGUUCAGGAAAUAGAUUUAUUUUUUUAUUGGUGACUCAAAAGAUUCAGUGAGAGGCACCAUCUGAAGUGCCAAACUGAUGAUGAAUUCUGAGAAAGUGUCUCUGAUCUCAAAGGACCUAAUAUCACACAAAAGAUAUUUUGUAAGAAGCAGUACUUCAAACAUUUAUUGGUCAGAGAAGAGACUCUUCAUCUGUACAUUUAUGCAAAAUGUAAACCACAAUAUUAACCUUCAUUAAGAGCAGAUAAACAUAUUGUGCAUUUCUUGGAAGACAUCAGUGAUGUCAUUUCAAGCAUCUUGAUUUUCCUCUGCCUCUUCUUUUUUAUCACAGAGUGGGGACAGUGUGCAAGAACGUUCCAGUUGCUGCAAGGCUGCAGCUUGCACAGGCUGUGUGUGGCACCAAGGCACGCGGCUCCCGGGGCUCGGCAGGGAGCACCACAGCUCUGAGCCAGCCUCAGGACACUCUGGGACCCUGCUGCUCCAUUCACCCACGCAGCAUCUGCAGUACCAUGGACAUCAGGCUGCUGUGCCCGAGCUGCUGGAGCCUGGGCAGUGGGCUCACACUGCUCCUUACGCCACAGCUCCAGGAGCAGUUCCGCUCCAUCCCACAGCGUUCCCCCACAGCCACCUCCUGCCACCAACCUGUUCUCUUGCUCCAAGCUAGAUUGGCAUCUGUACCAGGAGGGAAUGAGAGCUGGCAACGGAGUACUGUUCUGAGGAAUCUAAUGGUAUUUUCUGGAAGCCAAGGGCUCUAUCAAUUGCUACAGUUACUUAGUAAGAUACACAGUAACCCAGUCAUGUUAGAAUCCAAGUUCCACAUCCUCUUUUAAUGGCCUUCCAACAAACAGCCAGCAGCACGCCUCAGUGCCCUGACCCAGAGGGAUUAUCCUUUACUUUACUGGGACAGUAAGGGCCUUUGUUCCAUGGGAAGAAGGCACCUGACUGAAGCAGGUGACACUCGUUUGAUUCUGAGGCUUGGGGAGGUCAAAACUCCCUCAGGCUUUGUGAUCCAGUGCCAUUGCCUGCAGAGUAAUGGUCCCCUGCGAGAUACCCUGAUCGGGUUGAUUGGGCUGUUUGCUGAUGUUGUUAUCAUUCUGCUAUCGAUGGGGUUAUCAGCCCCUGUCCAUGCUUGAUGGGUUUCUCUUUGUUGUCAUCCAGGUCUCACAGCGAUCCCUCAGCUGUGGUCCCCUCGAUGAGCUCCACUGAAGCCAGACUUUGUUUGCUCCCCAUGGAUUUCACAAGUGCAGCCAGUCAUGGAGUUCAGGCACGGGUUCAUCUUUGAAGCGAUAACGGUAUUUCCGACAAACCUAGAAAUGUUGCUGUGAAACAUUUUCUGUGAAAAAUCAGACAAGUUAGUGAGGGAACAGGGAGGGAGAACACAGGUCUGAUGGGGAGCUACUGCGGGAGCUGGGGAAUUCAGCCUGGAGAAAAAGAGGCUCAGGGGGGACCUUCUCCCUCUCUCCAACUCCCUGACAGGAGGCAGGAGCCAGGUGGGAGUGGGGCUCUGCUCCCAGGGAACAAGGGACAGGACAAGAGCAAACAGCGUCAAAUUGCACCCAGCAAAGUUUAGGUUGAAUACUGGGAAAAUUCCUUCCUGGAAAGGGCUGUCCAGCCCUGGCACAGCUGCUCAGGGCAGUGGUGGAGUCCCCACCCCUGGAGGGAUUUAACAGACAUGUGAAUGUGGCACUUGAGGACAUGGGUUAAUGGUGGCCUUGGCAGUGCUGGAGGACAGCUUGGACUCAAUGGUCUAAGAGGACAUUUCCAACCUCAGUGAUUCUGUGCCUCUAAGGAAGAGGAGGAAAAGAACAAAAAGUGAUAGAAACAUGUGUGGAAGUUUGCUGGUUCAGUCUGACGUGAGUGCGUUCUGUGCCAGUCACUCACAUGAACGUGCUGAGAUCUGAUUAGCUUUGACUUCUCUGAUACUUAUCUGAUAAUUUGUCCUAUGUUUUCACUUAUCUCUUCCUCAGUAAGGAAACAUGCCAAUAACUUAAUACUUGGGCCAAAUUCUAUUUGUCAAUUUAAUUUGUUUUGGCUACAAUCUGAAGUUAAACCACACAACUGAAAGGGUGAAUAAAAGGGAAAUAAGCUGAAUAUGAAAGUGAGUGAUCUGAAUGCACAGCCAGAGACCUGGGUUUAGGGCAUCCACUGCAAACCCACCACUUGGAUCAGUAACCCUUUCCUGUAAAAGGCAACUGGCGUCACCAGGCUCAAACUCACCUCUUGUGAGCCAGAUGUGACCAAAAAGGGUCUGCUCAUCAAAUACACACCAUAAAUAUCUCAGACCUGCUGUUCUGUUCAUUUAACCUGUGUUGGUGUGAGCAAUGCUUCGUUCUUUGGUACAUUUUCUGACAUGACUGCUGCCAGUGGUGUGUGGGUCCUGGGUGGGAUGUGAGAAAGGAGGACUCUCAGUGGUGGGUUUGUGUCUGUCACAGCUAUUGCCAUGCAACAAGGCAAAGACAAACCUGGCUGAGUUUGCUCUGAAAGGAAACAUCACCUGUGCUUACAGAGAGUGUCAGGAUUAAGAAAGCUGAAAACUGGCUCAUUCUUUAUAUAUGGAUUUCUUUAUAGAAUAGGAGUCAUUACAUUCAGUUUCUUAUUUUCAAAACAGUCUCUAAAAGCUUUGGUUUGGUGGGGCUUUGUUUGUUUUGGUUUUUUCUUCUUGUUUUGCCUAUAAAGAAAAUAACAGCAGAAAGCAGAGGAUUUUAGCACACAUGCAGUGCCAUAUUAACAUGCAGAUCCCUGAAGAAAGGGAAGAGACCAACAGGUGGAACAGGAAACACACAGUAAUGUUUGUCUUCAACAGGAUUAUCUUAAACAGGAUUGAUUUUUUCUUUUAAUUGGCUGAAUAAAUGCAGUUAGAAAUCA